rnacentral:rRNA from 1 species
UACAGAGGGGGCAAGCGUUGUUCGGAAUUACUGGGCGUAAAGGGCGCGUAGGCGGCCUUCUAAGUCGGACGUGAAAUCCCCAGGCUUAACUUGGGAACUGCGUCUGAUACUGGAAGGCUUGAGUGCGGGAGAGGGAUGUGGAAUUCCAGGUGUAGCGGUGAAAUGCGUAGAUAUGUGGAGGAACACCGAUGGCGAAGGCAGCCCCCUGGGUUAACACUGACGCUCAGGCACGAAAGCGUGGGGAGCAAACAGG